AACCCCAACCGAGCUCUAAUAAAAUCGCCGCAGAGGCGCGGCCGCCUCGCGGGCUUCCUUCCUAGGGGGCGCUGUGGAGCGCGGGCGGAGGCGCGCGCGCGAGGGCUCGGGACUCUUUUGCCCUCUCAGGGCGGAAGGAACGCGGUGGGCCUGAGGAAUGGGCCGUCGCUGACCCGAGGCCUCAGAGUCCCGGGAGCGGCCCCCGCCCCUUUAAUCUUUUUUUGAGGCGGGGAGUCGCGGUAGCGCGGCUCUCUUGAGAUGCCGCGGAGGGUCGGCCGCCGGGUUUCAGGGCUUCACCGCCUGCUUGGAGGUGGAGAAGCGCGCUUGCUCGCGGUGGAGUCGGGAGGCGGAGCGGGGCGGCCUUGUGGAUCCGAGGCCCGGGCGGCUGAAGGAUUGGGCCCGGUCCUAACCCUCUGGUGUCGGCAGUUUUUGUGGUCUGCACCUCAGAACUGGGGCCUGAUUUCCUGGAGAGGCUGAGGCUGCCGAAAUGAGUUUCCAGUACCGAACAAUGCAACUGUAUAUCACCAAACAGUGUUUUGUUUGUUUUUAAAAAGUGUUUUCCUCAGUCGGCCUUGUCUCACCUUUUCCUUUCUUUUGUUCGUCUUUUCUGUUUCAUUACUUAGGGGAGUGGGCGUUGUCCGUGUUGAAAUAAAAACUGGGACGGGAUCUUCGCCCAGUUGGCGCUUUCUCAGCGCGCUGACCUGCGGUCGAGGCUUGGAGCCGAGCUCUGGAGAGGGCGGAGGCCCCGAGCGGAGAUUUCUAUUAUAGAUCAAUGCCGAAUGGAUCAAACCGGAAAGAAGCCUCUCUGGCCAGAAACAGUCUUCAUUGAAAGAAAUAACAUCCCUAAAGGAGGAACGUGUAAAUCAGGAAUUGAGCCAAGAAAAGCCUGGGAGGGCCCAGCGGUAAAGAAUCCACCUGCAAUGAGUAACACAGGAGAUGUGGGUUCAAUCCCUGGGUCAGGAAGAUCCCCUGGAGAAGGAAAUGGCAACACACUCUGGUGUUCUUGCCUGGGAAAUCCCAUGGACAGAGGAGCCUGGCGGGCUACAGUCCACAGCAUCACAAGAGAGUUGGACUCAACUUAAGCCAACUUAACAAUAACAGGCAUCUUCAGCUUCUUUCUCAAGAGUGCAUGAAAACUGUUUAUCUCAAGAGAUGGGGAUGUCGGACUCUGAGAUGAAAGGGAGACUUUAUCUCUUGUGUGUUCUGUUCAAAAUUGGACUCCUGCCAUGUGUGUAUUACUGUUUCAAGGAAAUAAAUGUUUAAAGACUCACUUAAUAGACAAAGCACAGGUAAUGAUAAUUACAGAACAGUAAUAUGAGGACAAUGUAACAAGGGAAAUGAAGUAAAGUUACAGCUGUUAGAAAUUGGAGAACAGAAUGGAAGAGGAAAGAUGGAAAGGGGAUGAGGGUGUUACCCUCAUUUCAUAAAAGGAAAAAACACUAAUCGGGGUGGUGAUUGUGGGCUACAUCUUGAUUAACCGACUACACUAGGCACACAGGAAAGAUCUCCACAGAGAUCCUGAUUUAUUGUUUCCAGGCUCAUGAUUGUCUUUAUGACAACAAUUUUGCUGAAGAGUUUAUUGAUUUGCUCUUUGGUUCUCCUUUGGAAUAAAUUUAACUGCAAGAUAGAGUCAGGCAGCAUGGCCAGAAGACUGCCUACCACUGUGCUGCUCAGUGUAGGGCUGAGUCUAGUGGGCAUAGUCCAAACAUGUUUUCAAGGGGAGAAAGGAGC